UGUGGCAUGACACACAUACAUGUUUGCAUCCUGGGUGUGGCAGGCCAGAGAGAGCGAUGGCCAAUAGGUGCUGUUGCGUAGUUGUGCUGGCUGUGGGGUCGGUAUGGUUUUUCCGGUGGGGAUUCUCUUUCGGAUUUGGGGUGCUGGUGGCAUCGGGGGACAGUGGGUACUCGCUGGAGGCACGGGGAGUUCGUUUGGAGUGAGUGGCGGUGAAAUGACGAGGGCGGCGCGGCGGCGCAGUUGUGGGGGAGUGCAUUGAAUGCUGGAGGAGGCCGGAGUGAGGGAGGUGCGUUGGAAGGGAUAGGCGGCCAGACAUCGGUGGAUGUAGCCGACUGCUGGUAGGCCAAGGAGACGGAGAUGGUAUCACGCCUGCCACGACUAGGUAUGCGCUCGAGUGGGUGCUGAUUGUUGGAGGAUCGCGUAAGUGUUAGCGUCGUAUUUGAAACUAGUGUCGGUGGACCAGUACACGGACUGAGUUUCGUGCGGUCCUAAAGGGGAUCUGCAGUUUCGCAUGCAAAUAUACUCGCGGAACGAAGCAUGAGGCUGGUAGUUGAGUGGCUGAAUGUCUGCGGACACGUUGUGCUGUACUGAGGCAGCCCAUGGAACUGAGGACUGGAGUGUGUGCGAGGGGUGGGGGGAGCCGGUCCGGCGGUGGAAGGUGUACCAGACGGCUGGAUGGCUAUCUAGCGGGUAAACGGUGUUGAAAAUAAGUUGUUUCUCCAUGGCGAACAUUGAGCUUAAGGAAUCUUGUGAUAGCGGGAACGGAUGUGGUGUCGGUUGAGGUGGAGUGACGUGGAGUGCCGUCAUGGAAGGAAUUCGCUUCUGGUAUUGUGACUGCUUCUUCAGGGGAUGGGGCAUGUUGCCGUUGUUUCGCUUGCCUUAUGGUAAAACAUGCCGAAGACGUUUGCAGUUCCAUUCGGCUAGUGCUGGUGGUGUCUGGGGAUGUGACGCAGUCGGUGAGUUUGUGCUUGGACUUGGAGCUAUGUUGGUCAAUGGUGCUGCGUCGAGAGGAGCUUGUUCUACUCGGUCCAUGUUGCUGGGAGACGCUGUUUGCAGACUCUUCCCGCGACACACUGUUUAGUGCAAGGCAGAAAGAUUUCUUUCUCGUUUAUUCUCUUCUGUAAAAUUUUAUGAUAAAUACAUUUACUGAACAGAGGGAUAGCAGAGCGGUUUAAUGCAUAUAAUUUGAAAUUAGACGGGCGGCUCUGCCUUGGCUUGCCGCGCAGAGCGAGCGCCUCGGCCGCCACAGCGGGUGCGGGCACCUGCCCAGUAAUUUUGGAACACGUUUGUAUCUCCCGUAUUAUCGCGCCAUAUUCCAAGAAGGAUCCCAGAUUACCCUGGUUAUCUUUCUUAUAUCAGUACAUUGUGUUCAGUUGGUUGCAGUCAGUAUAUGCUUAGUCCGCAACACUAGCGUUUGGGUGACCAGCGUGGCAAUGAACCCUUUACCGGUGGUGAGACGAACUCGGAUUCAAACAGUGGCUGUGUCUGACUAUGCUGAUCGCGGACUCUUCAGAUUUCAUCGCCUUUCGUCUGGAAUGAGCAAGGGGUCUCGGAGGCUCCAUGCACCGGAGUCAUCAUACGUUGGGGGAGGUGACAUAUACUUUAGCUCUGAUAUAUUAUUUGGCAGAUGCCACUCACAUGAGUUAACUAUCUAACUCUUCAUCAGUCGCACGCAUUAGUCCUUGUACAAUGGUACAACACUUCUCGUGGGGGCACCGUUCAGCAGGCAAGAAUCCUGGUGACCAUUUCUGCGACAAUGCAUGCGUUUUCACAUAACCUGCCGUGUGCGACAAAGAAACGACACGCAACGUAUCUUGACCUUCUCACAUGUUGUGCUUUGUGUAGGCACAGAGCAAACCAAUCUAACAAGGGUCAUUUUGCAUCAUGCUUUCGGGUUUUUGACCUGUGCCUGCUUUCAGGGCUUUAUGUCGAUUUCAUUCGUCGUAAGUCCACAUCACCGUAGAGCGCACUCGCUGAGAGGGUGCUGGUGGGGACUGCAGUAUGGCGCAGAGCAUGAAUUCUCAUGUCCUGAACAAAGCUGUGCACCUAGAGAGCGUAUCUUUCGCGCGCUGUGCUGCUGGACCAAGGCUCCCGCGGACAUGCAAUAUAUCCGGUACUUGGACACGGCAGGUGGCAGUGACAGUACGUUUGUGCUAAGAGACAUGUAGUACUGGUUCCGUCACUCGUUCACGAUAAAAACGAGUGCGGGAGCCUUCGCGUGUCAGGUCAGGACUCUGAAUAAUUUUUGGGAGCACCUCACGGCGGAUCAACUGAAAAUGGUUUGUUUGGGGCUUCGAGUCAUCGCACCCAGACAGUUCCGGGGUGCGGUUGCGUGCGUUACCUAGGUUGAUCGCCCCAUUCACCCUGUACUGUCUGUUCGGAUUCACAGGCUGCCGCACUGGUAAGAAGCUUAAUUAUUCUUCGCUGCGAUUGACUACCGCUUUGCAAUUCGUGGUACAUCCGGCAACGCACUUUUACGAUCUAGCAGCCGUGCGAUACCAUCUACUCGUGAGAUGAGAGAUGAGAGGUAAUGCCUGAGUCCUAGCCUCGACUGCGAGAGAUUAACUCCGUGUGUCGUCCCAGGUGUUCCAGCGCUGAGCAGCGGUUUUUACUGCACUUGGCUAUCCUGUUGUUGGGGGCAGACUGACUACUCUUGUAUUUAUCGGGUCCCUUCCAUUGAGCUCUGCGUAACAAUUGCCAGAAGAAUUUGGCUGAUGUCGAUAACACACUUAAACUCCAAUGCGGUUCUCCCCCAUCCGAUGCCCAGUAUUAUGAGCUGCGCCGUUGCUUCCCCAGGAUGCAGUGUCCCCGGCGAUUCAUCGCCUGUACUGACACGAGCUAGCCGCAAACGGUUCGUGAAUACAUGUACAUCCAAAUCAAUAUUUUGUUGGGUAGUCAUUUCCCGGUUGUGCGAGACUGCUGCAGUCAGUUUAUUUGCCACGUGGCUGUCUAGAUCAAAUUUGCACUGGCAAACGAGUACUUGGUGGGCAAGGGGUGAAGGAAGGCACUGUUGAACGCACGCCAUAAGGUGUUGUCUUUUGGUCUUUUGGGUUCGAGAUUCAUGUUUCAACUGCAUAUCCUCCGUCGAUUGUGCCGUCACCUUAAUGCACGACGGCCAGACGGCUGCAGCUGCGAUCGUGUAGAGGAUGGUGGAGGUGGCGAUUUGAUACGCUGUUCUUUGGUUCCCACCGAUAUACUGUUACAGGGCGCCGCGUGGAUGGUGAGUCACUUGUACACUUCGCAGCAUAUAUAAUUCCUGAUACCGAGCGGCUUCGAUGCCGAUGGCUUCUCGUUCUGAGGCUCAGGGAUACGUGGGAACUGCAAGCGCGAAGGGAUGUGGCCCUCACGAACGGUCCGAGGGGCGCGGGGAGGGAUACGAAGUGCGUGGUUGAUACCGACCCGAUUAACGGAACCCAGUUCGAAAGGAAGCAAGCGAAUUUGAAGCAGCAGUGUGCCUGCGAUACAGUUGUGUACGGCGAAUGAAAUGGAGGAGGGCCGGUAGCUGACACGGUAGUCAGAGAAGAAGCAGCGUGUGCUCACCCUGUUAUCUAGAGUCAAUGUUUAUCGUCUGUGCUGUAAUGUGGAGUUUGUGUGGAGUAAGCUUGGACGCGUGGCAUACGUUCGCCUCAUCAGACCCAAGCUGGGCUGCAGCCUUACCAGAUUUGUCGCCUACCUGGCCAAGCUGGCUGUACUACAUGCUUACCCUGCCUGCCCCUCUACUGUCUGGGUUCUGGCCAAUGCAGCUGGCGGUUUGGUGUAAACUAAUGAAGAGGUGCGUUGAUUACUGAUACGCACAAGAGGCGGACGGGCCAGGCCAGUGCAUCCAGGACCGUUGGAGGAUGGAACAGUUCACGUUACUCAAUUGAUAUAUUUUAUCUGGUCCUUGUUUUCCAACGUCACGCUCGUCGCCGGACACCUGCUGCCGCUCAUAUUCCAGCGUUCGCUCCACUGUGUGCAGUCCGAGCACGUCGUGGCGUGAUUAACCAGAAGAAGAGAGUACGGUGUAAAAAUGGCUUUUCUGUGAACCAGUGUCGCGUAUGCGUCGGUAGACACACAAUCGGUGAUUUAGGUGUCGGACCGCAGAAACAUCUAGCAAGAGACCAGAUAGAAGAGUUUCGGGGCUGCGUCCGCCCCCUCAAAAACAUCAACGCUUACGACAUAGUUCUUGCUAGAGCAAUACAAUAGUGGCCAUACAAAGUACGUAUCACACGGUGGUGCUCCUAAAUGUAUCUGAUCUUUAGGCCUCAACACAGAGCGAAUCUCGCACUUGAGUCUGAAUCAGAGGCAGCGAGAAAGGCCCACGGCUGCUCUGGUUAAGAUGUUAGAAAUCCGAUGCAUAUCACCUCGUCAGAGGCCUGUUGUUUGCCCUUCUGUGACACCUUUAAUCCCUAAAGCGGAACGCAAACGUAUGUACAUCAAUAGGACACAGUGUCGCUUUAGUGAACACAUUUCCUUAUCGUGGUAGAGGCGGCAUCUGGGCAUGUAUCCAGAAGCAAGUCGUAGGCAGUGCAAGAAGGGGCGGCAGGAGUAAGUCGCGAGAUGGGUAUCCAAUGAUUCGUAAGGGAUGGGUGGCGUAUAUGACAGAACGAUGUGGCUCGCGAUGAGUUGCGCAUCGUAGUGUGUGGUACGACGCAGAGCCGGUUGCAGUGCGAGGUACGAUGGUGACUGUACGUUUCGGCCGGAGUUAAUACUGCACGUAAAUUGUGGUAUCUGUACCUGAUGAAAAAAAGCAACGCAUGGUAAGCUGUGACGGAGGCACCAAUUGGCAUCGUGGGUUGUACAAGCAGAUCAGUAAAUUUGAGCUUCAGUGGCGCUUUUAAAGGCGUCGCUGGCGCCACAGAUCUCGUGAAAUGUGAAUCUGAUUUCUGGCGUCAUGGACUGCCUGUAUGCGGCCAUACGCCACCACGUGGACUGGACGGUUGUUUUUGUGUUUUUGGCCAGGAAGUAGGAAGGGUGACAGGAAUUGCG
rnacentral:lncRNA from 1 species